GGCGCAGGUGCGGAUACGCAUAUCAAUAAGCGGAGGAAGGCUCCCGAGUCCCCGCCCGGCGAUGCGCCUCAGGAACCCCGAUGAAUAUGGGCUGUCUGAGUUAUAAAUGAAAAUUGUCAAAACUUUCAACAAUGGAUCUCUUGGUUCCGGCAUCGAUGAAGAACGCAGCGAAAUGCGAUAAGUAAUGUGAAUUGCAGAAUUCCGUGAAUCAUCGAAUCUUUGAACGCACAUUGCGCCCCCUGGCAUUCCGGGGGGCAUGCCUGUCCGAGCGUCAUUUCUGCCCUCAAGCACGGCUUGUGUGUUGGGUGUGGUCCCCUCCCUGGCGGGGGGACCUGCCCGAAAGCAGCGGCGACGUCGCGUCCGGUCCUCGAGCGUAUGGCGCUUUGUCACUCGCUCGGGAAGGCCUGCGCACGUCUGUCACAACUGUAUUUUUACCACGUUGACCUCGGAUCAGGUAGGAGUUACCCGCUG
rnacentral:rRNA from 1 species